rnacentral:pre_miRNA from 1 species
UCCCCAUUUCCCACACUCUCUCACCGGUCAGAGUGACGAGAGAGUGUGAAAAAUGAAGAAA